AGGGAGCUAGUCCAAAACAAGACCUCUGAUUUCGGCUCAGAAAACCACGGUUUAAAUCCAUGGCUCCCUU
rnacentral:tRNA from 1 species